AACAACCUUGCGUUGCUAGGUUACGGCUGCACUGCUUAACGUAUACUGUCACAAUCAAGCAACACCUGCGAGCAGUCGGACCUGUUUAGCUUCACUUCAACAAUCGUCGCGCUGUAGAGAGAAGAAGUGCCACUACAGGUGCAGCUCAGCUCCUGGAGGAGGACCGGGAGCUUUUUGACGGGACUGCUGCAUCGCACCGCGUCCAAGUGGAAACACGUACGCUCCUCCCACCUCAUAGAGGGAGGAUGUGAGCACCGGUCAGACUAGACCCCCCCAGAGACAAGAGCUGGAGUUGUUGUAGAGAACAUUAGGUGCCUGUAUUUUAUAAAUGCAUUCCUGUAAUGCCUUUGUAAGUCUUUCAGGGAAAGUGAGGAGGUACCUGCAGGUUAUUAACACAUCCAUCACAGCUUCAUUCUGCUUAUUUUGCUCUUAAGUCUUUAUUAAAACACAAUCCAGUCUA